rnacentral:rRNA from 1 species
UACAGAGGUGGCAAGCGUUGUUCGGAAUUACUGGGCGUAAAGGGCGCGUAGGCGGUCUUGCAAGUCCUGUGUGAAAUCCCUCGGCUCAACUGAGGAACUGCACAGGAAACUGCUUGGCUUGAGUUCGGGAGAGGGGGAUGGAAUUCCGCGUGUAGCAGUGAAAUGCGUAGAUAUGCGGAGGAACACCGAUGGCGAAGGCAAUCCCCUGGGCCUGCACUGACGCUCAUGCACGAAAGCGUGGGGAGCAAACAGG